rnacentral:SRP_RNA from 1 species
AACUAAGAAACGUCCUUCCCUCCUUCUAACGUCGUUGAUAACACUCUGCGUGAUAUCCAUUUUUGCCUCA